rnacentral:rRNA from 1 species
GCCAGCAGCCGCGGUAAUUCCAGCUCCAAUAGCGUAUAUUAAAAUUGUUGCAGUUAAAAAGCUCGUAGUUGAAUUUCUGCUAAAAAUAACCGGUCUGCUUUUAAUAAAGGUGGUAUCUUGGUGUGUUUUUAGCAAUAAUGUCCUUUGAAAUGUUUUUUACUUCAUUGUAAUAAAUUAUAUUUAGGAUUUUUACUUUGAGAAAAUUAGAGUGUUUCUAGCAGGCUAAYGCUUUGAAUA